AUGGUGCCACGAAGAAACUUCAUGGAAAAUGGGGGAAAAAGCAACGAAGUAGGGCCAAAACAAAUCGUUUUUUCUGCAAUAUUGCUCUGUUUUUUGUUUUAUUUGAUCAGCUCUUUUGUUUGUAUAUACCUGUAGUCGACGCUUGGUUGUUAUCGCAGUGUUUAACUGUCAGUGUUGGACUGUGAGUGAUGCUAACAAAAUUGAAAGAGGGAGAGAGCUUUUUUUUCCCCUUGUUUGUCAUAGAUUGAUCGUACACAUAUGGAGAAUUUGUUGUGUGAAAAAGGUGAAAUGAUCGAACAGACUUUGCUAUUAGAUGAUUCUGAAACUCAAAAGGGUGGAUUCAGAACUUUACCUUUCGUACUUGGAAAUGCGGCUUUGACGAAUGCGGCGACGUCUGCUCUAACUCCUAAUAUGAUCCUGUAUUUGAUGAAUGAAUAUCACAUGGAUAUGACUACUGGGUCCAAUAUUAUCUACAUGUGGUCAGCAGUUACCAACAUCGCUCCAGUUGUUGGGGCAUUUAUGGCGGAUUCUUUUGUGGGUCGGUUCCAGAUGAUAGGAUUGGGAUCUGUUGUCACCCUUGUGGGGAUGUUUCUGUUUUGGCUGACAUCAGUGAUUCCGCAAGCAAGGCCCCCGCCCUGUGUCAAUUCCAACAACAUUUGCAGAUCAGCAGAGAUGUUCCAACUCUUCUUCCUGUGUUUCUCUUUGGGCAUCGUUGCCAUUGGAGCAGGUGCAGUCAAAUCCUCAUCUUUAGCAUUUGGUUCUGAUCAGUUGAAACGGGAAGUAUAUCAAGAUAAUGCGCGUUUAAUGGAGAGAUACUUCGGCUGGUACUAUGCCUCGUAUGCUUUGUCUAUCCUGGUUGCUCUCACGUGUCUUGUUUAUAUCCAAGUCAACAUGGGGUGGGCUUUAGGUUUUGGAGCUCCUGUUUUGCUAAUGUUGUUUUCAACUCUUCUAAUUUAUUUGGGUACUCCAUUCUACGUUAAGCUGAAGCCUAAAUCGAGCUUAAUCACUGGCCUUUUUCAAGUGAUUGUAGCCUCUUAUAGAAAUAGAUGUCUCAAAUUGUCGUCACAGAGUGAAGAUAUACAAUAUCAUCAGAAAAAAGGGUCAACCGUAGUUCUUCCAAGUGAAAAACUAAGGUUUUUGAAUAAAGCUUGCAUUGUACAAGAUCCUCAACUAGAUUUGAGCCCAGAUGGAGAAGCGACAGAUCCUUGGCGGCUUUGCACUGUAGAUCAAGUAGAGGAGCUGAAAGCAUUGCUCAAAGUUGUUCCAAUCUGGUUGACGGGAGUUAUAUUGUCCAUAAACAUAAGCCAGAACACUUUUCCUGUACUUCAAGCGAAUACCAUGGAUCGACAUAUUGGUUCAAGCUUUGAAAUCCCAGCUGCCUCCUUUGGCAUAUUUGCUGUCAUCUCUGCUAUACUUUGGAUUGUCCUCUAUGAUUAUCUGAUUCUUCCCAUUGCAUCAAAAAUGACUGGAAAGCCUGCUCAUUUCAGCACAAAAGAGAGAAUGGGGUUCGGGUUGUUUUUUUCCUUCCUGUCAGUUUUAGUGGUUGCAGUUGUAGAAGGUGUACGGAGAAGUAUCGCAAUCAAGGAGGGAUACUUGGAUGAUCCAGAAGGUGUGAUCCCAAUGUCAGCUAUGUGGCUACUUCCCCAGAAUUCCCUUACUGGCUUCGCAGAGGCCCUGCAUGCCAUCGGCCAAAACGAAUUCUACAUUUCAGAAUUUCCUAGAAGCAUGUCUAGUGUAGCUGCUUCUCUAUUAGGAGUUGGUAUGGGAGUUGGAAGCUUACUAGCUAGCUCUAUAAUGAGUACUAUCGACGACUUGACUAAAAGAGGAGGGGAAGAAAGUUGGAUAUCGAGCAAUAUAAACAAGGGCCAUUACGACUACUAUUAUCUCGUUCUUGCAGGAUUUAGUCUGGUUAACGUACUGUACUAUAUUGUCUGUAGUAAAGCUUAUGGUCCAUGCAAAGAAGAGGUGAUGGAAGAAGAGAAGCCAUGAAUGGGUACAAGAACUUGUAUAUCGUAGCUCAAAACGCUCCAAUAUAUUAAUCCAUAUAGUGUCAUGCCUAUUUCCUCAUAGCUUGUUAGUAGUAAUAUAUAUACUUUUCGGUUGAUCCAAUCCGUACAUAGCAAGAACUUAGUGCAUCGUUCCGUUCUUUUUAACUUUUUUUUUUAUAUAUACUUUUCAGCUGAGCAUGACUGAUGCUAUUGUAGGUAUCAAAUGAAGUUGUAAUCACUAAAUUUUGUGGGGAGAAGAUAGUUUUAGCUUGGUGUAAAUAACUUUAUAUACUUGAAGAAGUAUAUUUUUGUGUA